GAGCACUGGGCAACCGCAACGCGCCGCCGCACAGGCAAUAGACGAUGCCGUCGCUCUCCUGCCACAACCUGCUCGACCUGGCCGAGGAGGUGCCGCCGCUGCCCCCGUCCCCGCUCCGCCUGCCGCGGGUCAUGGCCGGCGCCUCCCCCUCCUCGCCGGCGUCCCCGUCCCAGCCCGGCCCGCCGCGGCGGGUCAUCGUCUCGCACCGCCUCCCCCUCCGCGCGUCCCCAGACCCCGCGGCCCCGUUCGGGUUCAGGUUCACCGUCGACGCGGGCACCGUCGCCUACCAGCUCCGCUCGGGCCUGCCCGCCUCCGCCCCCGUGCUGCACGUCGGCACGCUGCCCCCCGCGGCCGCCGACGCCGCCUCCGACGAGCUGGCCAGCUAUCUCAUGGCCAGCUUCUCCUGCCUGCCCGUCUUCCUCCCCGCCGACCUCCACCGCAGGUACUACCACGGCUUCUGCAAGCACUACAUGUGGCCGCUCCUCCACUACCUGCUCCCGCUCACGCCCUCCACGCUCGGGGGCCUGCCCUUCGACCGCGCGCUCUACCACUCCUUCCUCUCCGCCAACCGCGCCUUCGCCGACCGCCUCACCGAGGUGCUCGCCCCCGACGACGACUUCGUCUGGAUCCAGGACUACCACCUCCUCGCCCUCCCCACCUUCCUCCGCAAGCGCUUCCCGCGCGCCAGGGUCGGAUUCUUCCUCCACUCCCCCUU
rnacentral:lncRNA from 1 species